GGGCGGUUAGCUCAGUGGUUAGAGCGCUUGCUUCACACGCAAGAGGUCACAGGUUCAAGUCCUGUACCGCCCAC
rnacentral:tRNA from 1 species